UACGAGAGGCCCAAACGUUAUUCGGAAUCACUGGGCUUACAGGGUGCGUAGGCGGUCUGUUAAGUAGGGUGUGAAAGCCCCCGGCUCAACCGGGGAAUUGCGCCCUAAACUGGCGGACUGGAGUGAGAUAGGGGUGUGCGGAACUUCCGGUGGAGCGGUGAAAUGUGUUGAUAUCGGAAGGAACGCCGGUGGCGAAAGCGGCACACUGGAUCUCAACUGACGCUGAGGCACGAAAGCCAGGGGAGCGAACGGG
rnacentral:rRNA from 1 species